AGGAAUAUACAAAGAGUUUUCUUCAUCUUCAACCUAUGUUUUAUGUAUACACACAAACAAAUUACACAUAAUCAUUUUUUGUUUGGGUGCCAUCUAGAAUCAGAGUUGAUAACGUCCAAUUUAGGUUGUUGAAUUGUGAAUUGGGUUGAGAAUAUUUGGGGGUUUCAAAUAAGAAAACCAAGAUAAGGUUUUUCUUCUAGAUCAAUUGGUGAUUUGAAGGUUUUGGAAA
rnacentral:lncRNA from 1 species